UAAAAGUGGAGAUUUUAGGAGGUGAGCGCUGUGGGCUAUGGGAUGGAUGAGGUGGAGCAGGACCAGCAUGAGGCCCGACUCAAGGAGCUGUUUGACAGUUUUGACACCCUGGGAACUGGGUCUCUGGGUCAAGAGGAGCUCACUGACCUCUGCCAUGUCCUGAGCUUGGAGGAUGUGGCCCCAGUGCUGCAACAGACACUGCUUCAGGACAACCUUUUGGGCAGGGUACAUUUUGACCAAUUUAAAGAAGCACUGAUACUUAUCUUGUCUAGAACUCUAUCCAGUGAGGAGCACUUUCAGGAGUCAGGUAAGAGCACUGACGUUUC